AAGGGAGAGACCCACCUCCUGCCGCUGCCGCCUCCUCCCCAUGAAGUCACCGGCUGCACGGCCCGCCCCCUUCCAGCCCUGCAGGAGCCGGAGCGGAGAGGGGUGGAGCGCUCCUCCCCGGGCCAGGGGACGUGCCAGGCCGCUUGAGUGGCACGCUGGGCCGGCAGCAGCCCGGGGAGGGAGCGGAGCCUGAGCCCGCCGGCGGCUCCCGGCUCCUGCAGCGCUCGCUCCCCGAGCCAGGCCGGCGGCCCCCGGGGCGCUGCGGGCGAGCGGUCGCCUCUGCAGCGCACGCCGGGCGCGCCAGCCUCGCCCUGUCCCCGGAGGAGAGGGUGUAAAAGGGUGGGGCAGAGCUAAUCACCUCUCAGUUCCUUUGCCAAUACACAAUCCAGCUCUUAAAGGACUCUAUAGUAGCAGGGAGGAGGGUGGAUCAUGGCAUAUAUAUGGACAACACAGCUCAAAGAACAACAGUUAUUGUAAGGCUUGUGAUUAAAUCCUAAAAUGUCCUGGUUGUCUGGAUGUGAUGGGAGUAGACUGAACUACAGCCUCAUUAAAGGAAGAGGAAGAUACGGCAGCUGGAGAAGAUCAGAAGGAAGAUGUAUUCCUUAUCAGAGGAGCAAUGAGGAGUCUUACCCCUCUCAGAAGAGUUUGGGAGCAGGAACCACCGCUGAGUGAAGAGGAGGCAGGAACUGGGAGCUGGUGGUAGCCAGGGCACUUUUGGAAGAAGAUUAUUCUGAUGUGGAUGGGUCUUGUUUGCUCAGCUCAGAGGCAGGUCUCAUUGAUUUGUCUAAGAGAAGUCAAUUUUAAGUGGGCUUCUGUCACUUUGAGUUCAUUUUGAAAUACCCUUCACCUAAACAACGUUUGGAGUGACGCUCACUGAGGGAAUGGCUGUCUCGCAGGAGGGAAUUUAAAGCCAGGGGUUUUUUGUUCCGCCAUGGAGACUGAACACCUGGUACGAGGUAGCAGGAAAUGAACUAAAGAGUUACCCCAGAGGAAACAUAAUACAAGAAAACCUACAGAUUUAAUAAAAAAAAAAAUUGUAUACAGAAUUUAUCAAAAACUAGCUCCUGUAGUGCAAUAGUGCAAGGACACACAGUAGUUCUGUCUUAGCCAUAGACAUAAAGAAUGAACUGAGGUGGUUGGUCCCACUGUGUCUUUUUAUGAACUGAGGAAGACACAACGGCAGGUAGGGUACAGGUGAGGGCCAACAGAUACUGCUGUCCAAAAGAUUUGGAUCUCCAGCACAUGUGCACCAAGAGUAGCAUACAUGGACAAUCUUUCAAUGAAGAACAAAGAGGGUUUCUCACUCCAAUGGAUUAUUGGUAAAUGGCAGUAUUCUGGCAAAAAGCUGGUAUAUUCAACUGAUUAGAUUAUUUUCAUUUAAAUUCAUCAAUUGAUGGCAUGCUGAAAUAGUGACAAAAUAAAUAGAGGCUUGGAAGGACUCUGUGUGAGGAUAGAUUGAAAGGACUAUGUGUUUAGAGAGGCGACAAUAAGGUUAUGAAUGAUACCUUCUCUGCGUAAUUCAUUUUGUGUAAAUCAGGUGUUCCUAUUUACCCUUAAUACAAAGGGACAUACAAUUAAUGAAUAGCAUCAUUUAAAACCAUAAAAGGGUUUUUAAAAAUGCAAUGCAUAAUUACCUGGUGGAACUCAAAAACAACAGUAUAUCUGAGGCCAAAAGGUUACUAGAUUCAAGAAAAAGUUUAGACCUUGACACUAUGGCUGGAAUAUUCAAAAGAACCUAAUGAAGUUCAGUUCAGUGGGAGUGGGGCACUUACUUAUAAACUAACAUUGAGUAAACAAUAUUUCGCAUAAAGAUUUAUAACAUAUAUGAAGGGAAAACACUGAACAAUUUAAAAGCUUGAUAUGGUAAGUCUCAUCAAGAAAUAAUUCCAAUUUCCACCUUCCCAAUACACUAAAUACAUAAGCCUGAACAGUUUUAUUAAGUGGAUACCAUUCAUUUCUGUGAAGCAAUUCAGAACCGCGGUGCAACUUUCCACUGCUAAAAGUAUCAUAUGGGACUUCAUCAGUAGCAUGUGGAAGUCCUGUUCAGAUGCCACACAGUAAUUUGCUUACUAUAGUUCAUACUUCUUCCCAGUGUACAUACCCAAGAAUUGAAGAGAAGGUGUGUUACUGAGUAGAGAGAGAAGUUUUCUAUUAUCCUGUUCCUUUUAGUCCUUUAACUGCUUUAAAAUAUUCUCAGACUCCCCGCUGAUAAAUUGACAACAGAAAGAAUGGAGUUUCUUUAUCCCCUGCUGGACACUGUCCUAAGACUAACUUAAGGGUCCUAAAACUGCCUCUUGUACAAUGCAAGGAACCAUACAAUGGUCAUGCUGAAUUAGCAGUUGUCAAAGGGACAUUAGAUCCCAUUUUAAUCUGUGCGAGCACAUGUGACUCCUACUAACAUUAAUGAGGGUUACCAAAUGCAUUGAAAGGAGAAUAGGCCCCAUCAUGAGAGUGUUGAGAAAGAUGAACUGAUUUUCAGGCAAGUUUUG